AGGCCUUCCGGUUUUAAAACUCUUUCAGUAGGGAAGAAAGCGACUGGGUUUUUUAAGACGUGACGGUACCUGCAGAAGAAGCCCCGGCCAAACUACGUUGCCAGCAGCCGCGGUAAUACGUAGGGGGCAAAGCGUUGUCCGGAAAUUAUUGGGCGUAAAAGAGCUCGUAGGGCGGUUUGUCGCGUCUGGUGUGAAAAACUCAAGGCUCAACCUUGAGCUUGCAUCGGGUACGGGCAGACUAGAGUGUGGUAGGGGCCCUUCUUCUCCCUUUUUUUGCGGUGGAAAGCGCAGAUGGGGGGGAAAAGGNNNNNAUAACGAAGGGCGUCCCCNNNNNNNNNUACUGACGCUGAGGAGCGAAAGCAUGGGGAGCGAACAGGAUUAGAUACCCUGGUAGUCCAUGCCGUAAACGUUGGGCACUAGGUGUGGGGCUCAUUCCACGAGUUCCGCGCCGCAGCUAACGCAUUAAGUGCCCCGCCUGGGGAGUACGGCCGCAAGGCUAAAACUCAAAGGAAUUGACGGGGGCCCGCACAAGCGGCGGAGCAUGCGGAUUAAUUCGAUGCAACGCGAAGAACCUUACCAAGGCUUGACAUACACCGGAAUCGGCCAGAGAUGGUCGCGUCUUCGGACUGGUGUACAGGUGGUGCAUGGUUGUCGUCAGCUCGUGUCGUGAGAUGUUGGGUUAAGUCCCGCAACGAGCGCAACCCUCGUCCUAUGUUGCCAGCACGUCAUGGUGGGGACUCAUAGGAGACUGCCGGGGUCAACUCGGAGGAAGGCGGNGACGACG
rnacentral:rRNA from 1 species